CUUCCAGUAGCACCUUAGAGACCAACUAAGUUUGUUAUUGGUAUGAGCUUUCGUGUGCAUGCACACGAAAGCUCAUACCAAUAACAAACUUAGUUGGUCUCUAAGGUGCUACUGGAAG